ensembl:lncRNA
GAGAGGGAGGAGUGAAGGUUUCUAGCUUGAGAGCCUGGCUGGAUGGUGGGCUUGCCCCUUGAUAAAUGAAACUGGCAGAAGAGUGGCCUCCCUCGAGCUCCAGCAGCGGGAACCCAGCUACACCUGGUCAUCCCCUUUCUUCCUGCUUAGCACAGCCUGGCAACGAGGGCGAAGGAAGCAGGUCUCCCAGUGGCCCGGCUGGUAUUUGGGGUUCAAGCCCAGCACAGUCCCACAUCUGGAUCCCGUUAGCUUGCCGCGUUCCUUCUUGGCCAGGAAGAAUGUGUGCAACGCCGGAGGAGCUGCUGGACUGCGGGCUUGCUGCUCCGACUAGGCUAUCAAAGCAGAGUGGCGGGCAGCCGGCCCCUGGGGAGGGGCUUCCCCGGCUCUCCAUCAUCGCGCCGCCGCCGCCACCGGUAGCUCCGGGGUGGAGCAGGGCCCUUUCAGCAGGCGCUCGCUGCUGCAUAGGAGCGAGCCAGGCGGUUGGGCUGCGCCCGGGCAGGCCCGCUGCUUCUGAUUAAAGGCUCACCCACUGCUCCUGCCCCACCACCCUUCCCCCGCAGCCAGCCGGAGCAGACAGGAGCCGCCCAGAUGCUCCCCCAAAUCCCAGGCUGUGGAUGGGGAAGGGGCCCUCCACCCCUAGUCAGGACAGGCGGAGCUGACCUCUGCAGAACUCUACCGGCUUUGGAAAGAGGGGACCGGUUUUCUCCUUCCAAAUCUUUUUAGGGUCCCCUCUCUGAAGAGCUGCAGCCGUAACCAGCCUUAGUUAGAGGCAGUUAUUAAAAAACAAUACCGAGGCCUGUGCAGUCUUUUACAGCCCAGCACAGUGACUAAGAAUGAAGGUUCUGGAGCCAGGUUUCCUGGGUUUAAAUCUGGGCUCUGCUACUUCUUAGUCCUGUGACUUGGGGCAAGUUACUUAGUCUCUCUGUGCCUUAGGUCUCCCUCAAACCCUCAGUGAAAUCUCAAGAACAAUAGGUCCCUAGGUAACAGCACUGCUGUGAGCCUUAAAUGAGUUAACACUCAUAAAGUGCUUAGAAUAGUGCCUGGCCCAUCGGAGUGCCCAGUAAAUUAUUAUUGUUACAAAGUUUGUUUACAUCCAUUGACUCGUUGGAGCCUGGAGCAACCCUGUGACCUGGGGAUUGCCCAGGAAAACUAGAGAGGAGAAGGCCU